GUCGAGAAUAUUCCCCAAUGGGCGAAAGCCUGAGGGAGCGACGCCGCGUGCAGGAAGAAGGUCUUCGGAUUGUAAACUGCUUUUCUCUGGGAUGAACUUUGACCGUACCAGAGGAAUAAGAGGUUGCUAACUCUGUGCCAGCAGCAGCGGUAAUACAGAGACCUCGAGCGUUAUCCGGAUUUACUGGGCGUAAAGGGUCCGCAGGUGGUUUUGUAAGUCUUCGGUUAAAUCCUUGAGCUCAACUCGAGGACUGCCGAGGAAACUACAAGACUUGAGACCGGGAGAGGCAAGCGGAAUUGCCGGUGUAGUAGUAAAAUGCGUUAAUAUCGGCAAGAACACCAAAUGCGAAGGCAGCUUGCUAGAACGGUUCUGACACUCAGGGACGAAAGCGUGGGGAGCGAUACGGAUUAGAUACCCGGGUAGUCC
rnacentral:rRNA from 1 species